rnacentral:misc_RNA from 1 species
GAUGAAGAACGUAGCGAAAUGCGAUACUUGGUGUGAAUUGCAGAAUCCCGUGAACCAUUGAGUCUUUGAACGCAAGUUGCGCCCGAAGCCAUUAGGCCGAGGGCACGCCUGCCUGGGCGUCACACGUCGUUGCCCCCCCAUCUACUCCUUCGGGAUUGCGGGGGGCGGAUGAUGGCCUCCCGUGCGCCUCGCCGCGCGGUUGGCAUAAAUGCCAAGUCCUCGGCGACGCACGCCACGACAAUCGGUGGUUGCGAAACCUCGGUUGCCCGUCGUGUGCGGUCGUCGCGCAUCGAGGGCUCGAAAAAAUUGCCGGGUUCCGGCUCGGCUUUCAACGCGACCCCAGGUCAGGCGGGGUUACCCGCUGAAUUUAAGCAUAUCAAUAAGCGGAGGA